GUCACAGAAACUUACAUUGUGAUUCUUGCACCAGAAAAACUAACAGCAAUGUACAAGAUAUUCGCUUAGCAAAAACGGGAACUGCAGUUUUAUUUUCCUGAGACAACUUUAUCCUAGAGAGCUGGGAAAGUGUGGCGCCUCGAUUGGAAGAGGAUCGUGUAUCCUGUGAUUUUCGAAGCAUUUUCAGUUUCAUCGUCUAAGAUGAGGAAACUGAGGCCCAUCAAUGUUACGUCAUUUCCCCAAGGCCACAGAUUAAGCUGGCGGCAGAGCCAGGACUAAAACCUGCAGGUAUACCAACUUCUGGACCGAAGGAAAAAAAUGUUUUUCACUCUUCAAGGCUGCCUCCAGGUUGUGUAAUGACAUCUUUGAGCAGCUACGUAAGCAGGUUCACCAAGAGUAUGGAUAUUCCUAGGAUCAUGGUAAUCUCAUCUUCAUCUUCUAUUAACUGAUACCUUAGUACUUCAGCAGUGAGUAACUGGAGUGCAAAGCAGACCUCUGAAAUUGGAUUUUCAAUCUUCUACGCAAGAAGACUAAGAUUCUUCAUGAAAAACCAUCUCUUUUGACCUGCUCCUUAAUUUGAAGCAGUACAUCAAAAGCAAACUGUGUGAAAGAUGAUGGAGGUGCUCAAACAGGAAUGGGGAAUGAAAAUGAGCAAAUAGAAGAUCAUGCUCAAUAAAAACACAAAAUGAUCAUCAGAAUAAAUGAGACUAUCAGUGCACAAGUAGAAGAAAAUCAACUAGGAACAUCUGUUCAGUUUAUGCCAGUGUCUGAAAGAUAACCAGGCCCUUCAUCUGCAAGCUGUGGUUCAUUUAUAUUUUUUCUGGGCCAGCAAGGGACAUGGAGAAUAUCAGG